CGGCCCAAUACGAGCCGGCGAGCAGCCUCACUCUCAGUCCAAAACCGCCGCCACUCCCCUCUUCCACCGGAGACCCAUUUUCCGGCGCGGCUGCUGCUUCCCGCAACAUCGAGCUCCCCGCCUCGCCGACCCACACCAGCGGCCUCGCUCGCGCUUGCCGCCUCGUCCAGUGCCGGAGGCUAUCAGCGCGCGAUGGACCCUGGUUCUUCCCCCGGUGCAUUCUGCCGUCCUAGCUUGCCGUCGCCCUAGCUCCUCCUAUGAACUGCCGCAGUUUCCGUUUUCCCACUCGUCCUGCGAAAGAGAUCUGAGGAGAUAUCCAUGUCUUUGCUAACUGAUGACCUGGUUGUGGAGAUUUUGUCUCGGCUACCGCUGAAGUCCUUUUGCCGCUUCAAAUGCGUCUGCAAGUACUGGCUUACCUUGUCAUCUAAUCCACACUACCGCAAGAAGUUCCCAAGAACUCCCGUUGGUAUCUUGUACCAAAUACCUCAGUAUGGCACUGGCAUCCAUCUCGCUAGGCUUCCCUCAUGCGACAAAGAAAUUGACACAACACUUAGCUUUGUGCCAUGUUAUGAGUACCUAGAGCUUAAGGGUUGCAGCAAUGGCCUACUUCUUUGUUAUCAUGGUGGUAUCACAACAUAUUUCGCAGACAUAUCCCAUGUUAUUGUGUGCAAUCCAGCAACUCAAGAGUGGAUGUCACUUCCAAAUACUGAACCUGGACCGGCAGACUGUGAUUAUGAUCUCAUGCUGUGUUUUGAUCCAUCAUGGUCUCAACACUUUUAUGUCUUCAGCUUCCAGUCUGGGUCUUCCAUGGAUGGUGAAGUCUAUAAUGAAGUUAAGAUAUUUUUCUCCGAGGAUUUCACAUGGUCUAGUUGUCGCUGGAAAAGUGAGAUAGGAUUUUAUGGUAGUUCAUGCUUUGUGAAUGGGGUACUCUAUGUGGGGCAUAUAUGGGAGCAUGUCCUUCUGGCAAUCGAUGCACCCGGCAC